GGGCAUGUGGCAAAAUGGUUACCGCGCUUGACUACGAAUCAAGAGACUCCAGGGUUAGGGUUACCGGGUUCAAGUCCUGGAAACCCCC